UACGGGGGGGGCAAGCGUUGUUCGGAAUUACUGGGCGUAAAGGGCGCGUAGGCGGGUGGACAAGUCUCUCGUGAAAGCCCACGGCUCAACCGUGGAAUUGCGGGAGAUACUGUCUGUCUUGAGUCCGGGAGAGGAGGGUGGAAUUCCCAGUGUAGCGGUGAAAUGCGUAGAUAUCUGGAGGAACACCGGUGGCGAAGGCGGCAUCCUGGACCGAGAUUGACGCUGAGGCGCGAAAGCUAGGGUAGCAAACGGG
rnacentral:rRNA from 1 species